UUUAGAGUUUGAUCCUUGGCUCAGGACGAACGCUGGCGGCGUGCUUAACACAUGCAAGUCGAACGAUGAAGCCCUUCGCGGUGGAUUAGUGGCGAACGGGUGAGUAACACGUGGGCAAUCUGCCCUUCACUCUGGGACAAGCCCUGGAAACAAAGGUCUAAUACCGGAUAUCACUUCCACUCGCAUGGGUGGGGGUUGAAAGCUCCGGCGGUGAAGGAUGAGCCCGCGGCCUAUCAGCUUGUUGGUGAGGUAAUGGCUCACCAAGGCGACGACGGGUAGCCGGCCUGAGAGGGCGACCGGCCACACUGGGACUGAGACACGGCCCAGACUCCUACGGGAGGCAUCAGUGGGGAAUAUUGCAAAAUGGGCGAAAGCCUGAUGCAGCGACGCCGCGUGAGGGAUUUCUCCCUUCGGGUGUGAACCUCUUCAGCAUUUUUGAAG
rnacentral:rRNA from 1 species